rnacentral:rRNA from 1 species
CACGUAGGCUGUCCUGUAAGCGGUGUGUGAAAGCCCGGGGCUCAACCCCGGAACUGCAUACCGAACUGCAGGGCUAGAGGACGAGAGGGGAGUAUGGAACUCUAGGUGGAGCGGUGAAAUGCGUAGAUAUCUAGAGGAACGCCGGUGGCGAAAGCGAUACUCUGGCUCGUCCCUGACGCUGAGGUGCGAAAGCGUGGGUAGCAAACAGGAUUAGAUACCCUGGUAGUCC